ensembl:lncRNA
GACGGUUUCUCGAGUUCACGCGGGAAUUUAUGAUGGAGUUAUACUAAAAUAGCGGGUUUCGAUUUAGGGUUAAAAGAAGGUAGGCUUAUGUAUAGUAAACAUCACUUGAAGAGACGUUUAAGUGUACUACAACGCUAAUUUGACAAGAGUCUAUCAAGUGACAGGCUUAUCUAAUUAUGGAUUUGGUGCCUUUCCAGACUCCAUAGUGACCUCAAACUGUGCAAUAUCCGCCUUCACUGUCUCUCAGGAUGGUCUUCACCUGGCCUGUGGGCCAGAGAUUAUAGGCAGAGAGAUGGGGCGAAGAGAUGACAUUAUACCGAGGGAGAAUUUCAGUCCAUUCAUCUCUGCACCACGACUGCUGAUGGGACUCUGGCGCAAGAGCCUGCUUGCGGCGAUGCAGUGAGAAUGCAUUUAACACCAUUCAAGAUCCAAGAGUCUGAGACAAGAGUGCAGUGUUUUAAUCAUUAAUGUGGAAAUCAUUCAUCUGUUCUGUGAGUUAUUACUCCUCGUAGGUAGUUCAUCUCAGUGCCCUGAUCGUUUCUUUUUCCUUGAAAACAGACUCUAGUUCCAAUUAAAACUGAGCCCCAAAUAUAAUGAUAAAUUAUUGAAUUUGAUUUACCUUUGUACUUAAGCCAAAACAUUUUUAAAUAUUAA